rnacentral:lncRNA from 1 species
AGAAUGAGAGAUAUAUUACCUCAAUUGCCGAUAACCAUCUUGAAAAAUCACAAUCCACGAUGUGUCAUGGAUAAUGGCAUUAAAUCAUAUGUCACGUUUGAUUGUAACUAUCGGGAGUCUUAUCAUAACCAUCUGACAUUAAAGAGAUGUAGAGCUGGCCCACGUUCUCCUUAUAACAGUUCAGUGUUCUGAGAUCUUCAAGAGUCAUCAGCUAUAGUCAUCAGAUUGAGUUCGACCAAACGAUC